rnacentral:rRNA from 1 species
GCCUUACACAUGCGAGUCGAACGGCAGCAUGGGUUGCUUGCACCUGGUGGCGAGCCGUUAGAGGGGGGGGAGUAAUACAUCGGAACAUGUCCUGUAUUCCCGUUGAUAACCCGGCGAAAGCCGGAUUAAUUCCGCAUACGAUCUACGGAUGAAAGCGGGGGACCUUCCGGCCUCGCGCUUUCGGGUUGGCCGAUGGCUGAUUAGCUAGUUGGUGGGGUAAAGGCCUACCAAGGCGACGAUCAGUAGCUGGUCUGAGAGGACGACCAGCCACACUGGGACUGAGACACGACCCACACUCCUACGGGAGGCAGCAGUGGGGAAUUUUGGACAAUGGGCGAAAGCCUGAUCCAGCAAUGCCGAGUGUGUGAAGAAGGCCUUCGGGUUGUAAAGAACUUUUGUCCGGAAAGAAAUCCUUGGCUCUAAUACAGUCGGGGGAUGACGGAACCGGAAGAAUAAGCACCGACUAACUACGUGCCAGCAACCGCGGUAAUACGUAGGGAGCGAGCGUUAAUCGGAAUUACUGGGCGUAAUGCGUGCGCAGGCGGUUUGCUAAGACCGAUGUGAAAUCCCCCGGGCUCAAUCUGGGGAUCUGCAUUGGGUGACUGGCAGGCUAGAGUAUGGGUAGAGGGGGGGUAGAAUUUCCACGUGCAGCAGUGAAAAUGGC